rnacentral:rRNA from 1 species
AGAGUUUGAUCAUGGCUCAGGAUGAACGCUGGCGGCGUGCUUAACACAUGCAAGUCGAACGGUGAAGCCCAGCUUGCUGGGUGGAUCAGUGGCGAACGGGUGAGUAACACGUGAGCAAUCUGCCCCUGACUCUGGGAUAAGCGCUGGAAACGGCGUCUAAUACUGGAUAUGAACCGUGGAGGCAUCUUCAACGGUUGGAAAGAUUUUUUGGUCAGGGAUGAGCUCGCGGCCUAUCAGCUUGUUGGUGAGGUAAUGGCUCACCAAGGCGUCGACGGGUAGCCGGCCUGAGAGGGUGACCGGCCACACUGGGACUGAGACACGGCCCAGACUCCUACGGGAGGCAGCAGUGGGGAAUAUUGCACAAUGGGCGCAAGCCUGAUGCAGCAACGCCGCGUGAGGGAUGACGGCCUUCGGGUUGUAAACCUCUUUUAGCAGGGAAGAAGCGAAAGUGACGGUACCUGCAGAAAAAGCGCCGGCUAACUACGUGCCAGCAGCCGCGGUAAUACGUAGGGCGCAAGCGUUAUCCGGAAUUAUUGGGCGUAAAGAGCUCGUAGGCGGUUUGUCGCGUCUGCUGUGAAAUCCCGAGACUCAACCUCGGGUCUGCAGUGGGUACGGGCAGACUAGAGUGCGGUAGGGGAGAUUGGAAUUCCUGGUGUAGCGGUGGAAUGCGCAGAUAUCAGGAGGAACACCGAUGGCGAAGGCAGAUCUCUGGGCCGUAACUGACGCUGAGGAGCGAAAGGGUGGGGAGCAAACAGGCUUAGAUACCCUGGUAGUCCACCCCGUAAACGUUGGGAACUAGUUGUGGGGUCCAUUCCACGGAUUCCGUGACGCAGCUAACGCAUUAAGUUCCCCGCCUGGGGAGUACGGCCGCAAGGCUAAAACUCAAAGGAAUUGACGGGGACCCGCACAAGCGGCGGAGCAUGCGGAUUAAUUCGAUGCAACGCGAAGAACCUUACCAAGGCUUGACAUAUACGAGAACGCUGCAGAAAUGUAGAACUCUUUGGACACUCGUAAACAGGUGGUGCAUGGUUGUCGUCAGCUCGUGUCGUGAGAUGUUGGGUUAAGUCCCGCAACGAGCGCAACCCUCGUUCUAUGUUGCCAGCACGUAAUGGUGGGAACUCAUGGGAUACUGCCGGGGUCAACUCGGAGGAAGGUGGGGAUGACGUCAAAUCAUCAUGCCCCUUAUGUCUUGGGCUUCACGCAUGCUACAAUGGCCGGUACAAAGGGCUGCAAUACCGUAAGGUGGAGCGAAUCCCAAAAAGCCGGUCCCAGUUCGGAUUGAGGUCUGCAACUCGACCUCAUGAAGUCGGAGUCGCUAGUAAUCGCAGAUCAGCAACGCUGCGGUGAAUACGUUCCCGGGUCUUGUACACACCGCCCGUCAAGUCAUGAAAGUCGGUAACACCUGAAGCCGGUGGCCCAACCCUUGUGGAGGGAGCCGUCGAAGGUGGGAUCGGUAAUUAGGACUAAGUC